UUUGCGGGUGUAUGACAAAAAGCUGCAACUUGACUACAGGCUUUGCCGUGCCCGUCAGAGCUGUGGAGUCAGGUGUUUAGAUGCAUUUUACACUUAGUCCACUGGUUGUAGUUGGGCUUCUUCUCUUUUAGCGUGCGCAUUGUUGAGGAGUGAGAGGACACACCCCUGAUCCUUGCAUCUCCCAGGUGUCAUUCAGCUCAAAGACCGCGCUCAGGGAAAUGCUCCGAGAGGCGACGUCCAAACAGGACAGCAUGUAAAAACAGUAGAGAAACACCGUCCCAACAGACGUGGUAGAGUCAACUGAACCAGGUCACCCUGGAUGAUGGGACCAGCACCUGCCAGAUGUUGCCCAGGCUUGUCAGUCUCCCGCCUGCAGCCUGAAUAAACGGGUGUUGGGGCGGAUCUGUUAAAGAGGCGGCUGUUAUCAGAACGACCACGAGCGCAGAUGAGAGUGAGGAUAUCACACUUGGUUUUGGCUUUUACUCCCGUCAGCUGUAUCUGCUUAAGUUCUGCUCUGGGUUGACAUCAUGAAAUGGGCGACACCCACAAGGAGUGAUAGGCGGGGCCUCAGAGAUCGAGUCGUCUUAC